ACCCGCUGAAUUUAAGCAUAUAAGUAGGUGGAGGAAAAGAAACCGAAUGGGAAUCUCUUAGUAAUGGCGAAUGAAGGAGAUGUGCUUAGUGUCAAAAUCAGAUUACUCUGACUUGUAGGCUGUAAGGGCUUCGCCAACUUGGGUGCAGGUGCAAGUCUCUUGGAAAGGAGCACCAGUGAGGGUCAAGGUCCCGUCUGGCAUCUGUCAUCCCUCGUAGACGGUCUGCCCAUUGAGAGUCGUGUUCUUCUGGAGUAGAGCGCCAAUUGGGUGGUACUCUUUGCCCAAGGAGGAUUACGUGCUUGAGACCAAUAGUGAACAAGUACCAUGAGGGAAGGAUGAAAAGGACUUUGGAAAGAGGGUUAAGAGGGCAUGAAGCUGCUGGAAGGGAAGUGGAUUGGACUUUUACAUCGCAGUAAGAUUGCAGUCUGUGAUCUCCACUUGUGGGGCAUUGCGUGCUGUGUUUCUUGCUGCUUGGUUGGGUUUUGCGUUGUGCCCAGAAUCUCAGUUUUGACUGGCAGAAGGAUUGCGAUCUGGACCAUGUCAUUGCCUACUUUGGCGCAGCAUCAACCUUGACCAAAGGUUCAAUUUACCCGUCUUG
rnacentral:rRNA from 1 species